rnacentral:rRNA from 1 species
GGCUCAGGAUGAACGCUAGCGGCAGGCUUAAUACAUGCAAGUCGUGGGGCAGCAUGAGUGGCAAUACUUGAUGGCGACCGGCAAACGGGUGAGGAACACGUACACAACCUUCCUUCAAACGCGGGGGAAAUAGCCCAGAGAAAUUUGGAUUAAUACCCCAUAAUAUAUUUGAUAAGGCAUCUUAUUAAUAUUAAAGCUUCGGCACUUGAUGAUGGGUGUGCGGCUGAUUAGAUAGUUGGCGGGGUAACGGCCCACCAAGUCUACGAUCAGUAGCUGAUGUGAAAGCAUGAUCAGCCACACGGGCACUGAGACACGGGCCCGACUCCUACGGGAGGCAGCAGUAAGGAACAUUGGACAAUGGACGAAAGUCUGAUCCAGCCAUGCCCGCGUGAAGGAUUAAGGUCCUCUGGAUUGUAAACUUCUUUUAUAUGGGACGAAAAAAGGGCAUUCUUGUUCACUUGACGGUACCAUAUGAAUAAGCACCGGCUAACUCCGUG